rnacentral:rRNA from 1 species
CCUACGGGAGGCAGCAGUGAGGAAUAUUGGUCAAUGGGCGGAAGCCUGAACCAGCCAAGUAGCGUGCAGGAUGACGGCCCUACGGGUUGUAAACUGCUUUUAUACGGGAAUAACGCGCCUUACGUGUAGGGCUUUGCAUGUACCGUAUGAAUAAGGACCGGCUAAUUCCGUGCCAGCAGCCGCGGUAAUACGGAAGGUCCGGGCGUUAUCCGGAUUUAUUGGGUUUAAAGGGAGCGUAGGCCGCAUGUCAAGCGUGCUGUGAAAUGUCCGGGCUCAACCCGGGCCUUGCAGCGCGAACUGGCGUGCUUGAGUCCGCGGAAAGCAGGCGGAAUUCGUCGUGUAGCGGUGAAAUGCUUAGAUAUGACGAAGAACCCCGAUUGCGAAGGCAGCAUGCUGCAGCGGAACUGACGCUGAUGCUCGAAAGCGCGGGUAUCGAACAGGAUUAGAUACCCGUGUAGUC